GGCGAACGGGUGAGUAAUGCAUCGGAACGUAUCCAGUAGUGGGGGAUAACCCAUCGAAAGAUGGGCUAAUACCGCAUACGCCCCGAGGGGGAAAGUGGGGGAUCCGCAAGGACCUCACGUUAUUGGAGCGGCCGAUGUCCGAUUAGCUAGUUGGCGGGGUAAGAGCCCACCAAGGCGACGAUCGGUAGCUGGUCUGAGAGGAUGAUCAGCCACACUGGGACUGAGACACGGCCCAGACUCCUACGGGAGGCAGCAGUGGGGAAUUUUGGACAAUGGGGGCAACCCUGAUCCAGCCAUGCCGCGUGAGUGAAGAAGGCCUUCGGGUUGUAAAGCUCUUUCGGCCGGAACGAAAUCGCAUCUCUUAACACGGGGUGUGGAUGACGGUACCGGAAGAAGAAGCACCGGCUAACUACGUGCCAGCAGCCGCGGUAAUACGUAGGGUGCGAGCGUUAAUCGGAAUUACUGGGCGUAAAGCGUGCGCA
rnacentral:rRNA from 1 species